UCCCUGGUGACUUAGAAGGUUAAGAAUCUGCCUGCAAUGCAGGAGACCCAGGUUCCAUCCCUGGCUCAGGAA
rnacentral:tRNA from 1 species